GAGAGCUCAUCUGUCCGGUAUUCGAUCGCUACGUAUAGGCUGAUCUGAUUUGAUAGGUGACACCCACUAUCCCGAUGCCAUGCGCUCGGUCGAGAGGAGAAUGGAUCCCUCGGAUGCUAGGCGUGGAUUAGAGAUUAAAGUAGGAGUAUUCGCCCCCACUUAAUUCUUCCCUCCCCUUCGGCAUCGCGGUCCGAUAAGCCAUCAACCACAUCCAGAUAGGCACUGCACGGGGCAGUAUGCCUUCAUUU
rnacentral:snRNA from 1 species